rnacentral:rRNA from 1 species
UACGGAGGGUGCAAGCGUUAUCCGGAUUAACUGGGUUUAAAGGGUGCGUAGGAGGGCAGGUAAGUCAGUGGUGAAAUCUCCAAGCUUAACUUGGAAACUGCCGUUGAUACUAUCUGUCUUGAAUAUUGUGGAGGUGAGCGGAAUAUGUCAUGUAGCGGUGAAAUGCUUAGAUAUGACGUAGAACACCAAUUGCGAAGGCAGCUCACUACACAAUUAUUGACUCUGAGGCACGAAAGCGUGGGGAUCAAACAGG